rnacentral:rRNA from 1 species
GACGAACGCUGGCGGCGUGCUUAACACAUGCAAGUCGAACGGAAAGGCCCCUUUGGGGGUACUCGAGUGGCGAACGGGUGAGUAACACGUGAGUAACCUUCCCUUGACUUCGGGAUAACUUCAGGAAACUGGGGCUAAUACCGGAUAGGAAUCCUUGCUGCAUGGUGGGGGUUGGAAAGCUUCGGCGGCUUUGGAUGGACUCGCGGCUUAUCAGCUUGUUGGUGGGGUAGUGGCUUACCAAGGCUUUGACGGGUAGCCGGCCUGAGAGGGCGACCGGCCACAUUGGGACUGAGAUACGGCCCAGACUCCUACGGGAGGCAGAAGUGGGGAAUAUUGCACAAUGGGCGGAAGCCUGAUGCAGCAACGCCGCGUGCGGGAUGACGGCCUUCGGGUUGUAAACCGCUUUCAGCAGGGGCGAAGCUUUUGUGACGGUACCUGCAGAAGAAGCACCGGCUAACUACGUG